AAGUAGGGGAUCGUAAGACCUUGCGCUUUUGGAGCGGCCGAUGUCUGAUUAGCUAGUUGGUGGGGUAAUGGCCUACCAAGGCUACGAUCAGUAGCUGGUCUGAGAGGACGGCCAGCCACACUGGGACUGAGACACGGCCCAGACUCCUACGGGAGGCAGCAGUGGGGAAUUUUGGACAAUGGGCGCAAGCCUGAUCCAGCCAUGCCGCGUGAGUGAAGAAGGCCUUCGGGUUGUAAAGCUCUUUCAGCCGGGAAGAAAAGGUUGCGACUAAUAAUCGCAAUUCAUGACGGUACCGAAAGAAGAAGCACCGGCUAACUACGUGCCAGCAGCCGCGGUAAUACGUAGGGUGCGAGCGUUAAUCGGAAUUACUGGGCGUAAAGGGUGCGCAGGCGGUUUUGUAAGUCAGAUGUGAAAUCCCCGGGCUUAACCUGGGAACUGCGUUUGAAACUACAAAGCUUAG
rnacentral:rRNA from 1 species